UCCAGGGUAGCCUAGUGGACAUGGCAUCUGCCCGGUAACGGAAAUAUCUUUAUUUACGGGGCGCUGUUAACCAGAAUGGAUGAUUUUUGAGCCCCGAUGGACGCAUAAAGCGGAAUAUAUACAUUGCACUGUUAGAGAGGCCUAGGGAUGGGUUGCCAGGGGAUCAUCGCCGGGUGAGGCCAGGAGAGCCGGGAUGUAGAGGAGGAUCAGGGUCUGCCCAGUAAGCGGAACACUGUGGGUUCUAUUCCUAUCCCUGGAC